rnacentral:misc_RNA from 1 species
UUCAUCUAUCUACGCGAGCUGGACCUGGAGAAAAUCAAUCGAGGAACCGUAGUUGAACUUGCCAAUCAUCCGAACUUGAAAAAGGUGAUCGUUCACCUCUGCCGAAACUACGAAGUACUUGAGGACUUCCGAAACUUGCCACAGCUGCUGGUAGUAAAGGGAGAGAUUAUGGGCUUAAAAGCAAUGCUCGGAGACUUUGAAGAAGAAAUUGCCAAGUCAACGGCAAGCAGUUCUGCCCAAUCAUCAGAAGCGUCAGCUCACUCGCCGGUGCCUGUUAACAACGGAUUUUAA